rnacentral:misc_RNA from 1 species
CAUGGCUCGCAUCACGUUGCGUCAAUUGCUGGAUCAUGCUGCUGAGAACGACUACGGCGUGCCGGCAUUCAACAUCAACAACAUGGAACAGGCGCUGGCCAUCAUGGAAGCCGCCAAUGCCGUGGAUGCGCCGGGGAUCANGUGAUCAUUCAGGCUUCGCGCGGCGCGCGGUCCUACGCCAACGACGUCAUGCUCAAGCACAUGAUGGACGCGGUGACGGAAAUCUAUCCGCACAUUCCGGUCUGCGUGCAUCUGGAUCACGGCAACGAACCCGCCACCUGCAUGACCGCGAUUCAGGCCGGUUUCACCUCGGUGAUGAUGGACGGUUCUCUCAAGGCCGAC